CAGCCGCCGCGGUAAUACGGAGGGAGCUAGCGUUGUUCGGAAUCACUGGGCGUAAAGCGCACGUAGGCGGCUACUCAAGUCAGGGGUGAAAGCCCGGGGCUCAACCCCGGAACUGCCUUUGAAACUAGAUAGCUUGAAUCUUGGAGAGGCGAGUGGAAUUCCGAGUGUAGAGGUGAAAUUCGUAGAUAUUCGGAAGAACACCAGUGGCGAAGGCGACUCGCUGGACAAGUAUUGACGCUGAGGUGCGAAAGCGUGGGGAGCAAACAGGAUUAGAUACCCGUGUAGUCCCUGUCUCUUAUAA
rnacentral:rRNA from 1 species